AGCAGCCGCGGUAAUUCCAGCUCCAAUAGCGUAUAUUAAAGUUGUUGCAGUUAAAAAGCUCGUAGUUGAAUUUCGGGGUUAGUAGGUUGGUCAUGCCUCUGGUAUGUACUGGUCUCACUGAUUCCUCCUUCCUGAUGAGCCGUAAUGCCAUUAAUUUGGUGUUGCGGGGAAUUUGGACUGUUACUUUGAAAAAUUAGAGUGUUUAAAGCAAGCUAACGCUUGAAUACAUUAGCAUGGAAUAAUGAAAUAGGACGUUCGAUCCUAUUUUGUUGGUUUCUAGGAUUGACGUAAUGAUUAAUAGGGAUAGUUGGGGGCAUUAGUAUUCAAUUGUCAGAGGUGAAAUUCUUGGAUUUAUUGAAGACUAACUACUGCGAAAGCAUUUGCCAAGGAUGUUUUCAUUAAUACAAGAACGAAAGUUAGGGGAUCGAAGACGAUCAGAUACCGUCGUAG
rnacentral:rRNA from 1 species